rnacentral:ncRNA from 1 species
ACCAGUAUAAAAACAGACGAUGGUGGUGGUGCAUGGCCGUUCUUAGUUGGUGGAGCGAUUUGUCUGGUUAAUUCUGUUAACGAACGAGACCUCAGCCUGCUAACUAGCUAUGCGGAGGUGACCCUCCAUGGCCAGCUUCUUAGAGGGACUAUGGCCUUCCAAGCCAAGGAAGUUUGAGGCAAUAACAGGUAUGUGAUGCCCUUAGAUGUUCUGG